rnacentral:rRNA from 1 species
GUGAGUAGUUCAGAGUUUGAUCCUGGCUCAGGAUGAACGCUAGCUACAGGCUUAACACAUGCAAGUCGAGGGGCAGCACGAAGAUAGCUUGCUAUCUUGGGUGGCGACCGGCGCACGGGUGAGUAACGCGUAUCCAACCUGCCCAUUACUCGGGGAUAGCCUUGCGAAAGUAAGAUUAAUACCCGAUGUUGUUUGAUUGCCGCAUGACGAUUAAACCAAAGAUUUAUUGGUAAUGGAUGGGGAUGCGUGACAUUAGGUAGUAGGUGAGGUAACGGCUCACCUAGCCGACGAUGUCUAGGGGUUCUGAGAGGAAGGUCCCCCACACUGGAACUGAGACACGGUCCAG